GGUUCCCUCCUUGCGAUCUGCAUCUUCUCUGCGGCGCCUCAGCUACAAGGAUGGCGAGUACAUCGCAUACACAACGGUGUGAGCUACAACGCAACACCUCGAAGCCAUAGCUGGGAAGCAAGACAAGUACUCCUAUUCCAGUCAAGUGCAGCCACUUUUGAUGUUCUACGACUACCAAUGGGGGUUCUAUCUGGUUGAGCUCCUCCCGUCAAGAAGCCUCAAUGCCUCGUCCAUGAGACAAGCAAGGCAGGCAGGCAGAGAAGCUGUUAGCUGCUGCUGGUUUUGUGGUUUUUUUUGCAAGGCAAUGUGUCCAGUAUCUGGAAUCAUCUAACUGUUUUUGGGUGAGCCUGUAGAUUAUCUACAGGACAAUGAGCUGCUCUUGAAUGGUGCAGUAAUUUAUGGGAUUGUACAGUGUAUUUGAUGCCCUUGACAGUGCAUCCUUCGAUGACUGAUGGGGGGGGGGGGGGGGGUAGUGAGGAGGGGGAAGUGACUCUUUUAUGGCGUUCUCUGCUGUCAUCCUCUCUAGUCUGCAAGAUAAUUGCGCUUGAUCUUUAACGUUGCAAUGCAAUUUAGCCUGUGAUGAACUGUCCAAAUCCAUAUACACGCGGCCACACGCCGCGCACAACCCCGCAAGCCAGCAUGGUUUAAGCAAAAUUCUAUUAAACACAAAUUAGUACCGCUGAUUAAAAAUAGCCCCUUCAUUUCAUUUCAUUUUAAAGGCUAAUCUCAUAACGUAGUAUAUACAUAACUGAAAGUUUAUUACUAUCAAGUGGCAAUAAACUUCAAAUGGAGAAACUUGUAAAUAUUACUGGAUAUCAUUGGGCUGUUCAGCGAGAAAAGCAUUCUCCAUUUGAAGCUUCCAUGAUCACAAACAUCAUAUAAACAAUCAAAAUCUUGUUAAAAGUUUUUCUCCUCUUUAAUUAAAUUGACCAAGUUUCCAAGUAUAAAACGGUGAACUACAUUACAGAAGUAGACAUGUGUAACUAACUUUAAAAAAACAGUGAAUUACUCACGUUAUAUGGUCAUGCACAGCAACGAACAUGUGCAAGCAUUGGGUCCAGGCAUACAUAUAAGUUUCACACAAUUACAUGGCACAUUAUAUUAAACUACAUGCUCCCAUUGAUUUUGACGAGCCACAUUAUAUCAUUGGGCAUCCCUGAUUGCGAUCUGCAUCUUCUCUGCGGCGCCUCAGUUACAACGAUGGCGAGUACGGAUGACAGUGUCCCUCUAACUUUUAAGUUGGAGGAGCUCCUUCCUGGCGAGUACAUCGCAUACACAACGGUGUGAGCUGCAAUACAACACCUCGAAGCCAUAGCUGGGAAGCAAGACAAGUACUAUUCGUGUCAAGUGUAGCCACUUUUGAUGUUCUACGACUACAAAUGGGGCCAUGGGGGUCCUAUCUGGUUGAGCCCCUCCCAUCAAUUAGCCUCAAUGCCUCGUCCAUCAGACAAGGCAUGCAGGCAGAGAAGCUGUUAGCUGCUGCUGGUUUAGUGGUUUUCUG
rnacentral:lncRNA from 1 species